UAGGGGGAAAUGGAAUCACUUUGCCAACUAUCGUUCUAAGAGUUGACAUCAGUUACCAUUUCUAAUACAUUGUUGUGGUUUUGUAGUCUCAUUUGUAACUGGUAUUGACAUUUUAGAAAACACCAAAGUGAUUUAAAAAAAUAUGGAACUUCUCACUCUAGUAACAAUAUGUUUAAAUCAUGUUGUUUGUUAAUUAAAUAUUUAAAACUUAUUGUUAACUUUUGCUAGACUAUUUUAAAUCAUGAAAGUGUUGAGAAGGGGAUAUCGAAAUAUAGUUAUGUUAGCUUGUGUACAUAAACGACGCACAUUAAAACAAGCAAAUUGCUUCCAGCAUACAACAGACUACCGACUAAAAAUUGUUCUCAUACCUAAUACUAGUCUUCAUGCA
rnacentral:lncRNA from 1 species